UUGGAGUCAGGUCCUUGGGCUUGCUUGCGGUUUGUUACGAACACAAGCUUGCCUUAAAUGCAUUAGCUGGAUUUCAGUAGAGUUGUUAAGUAACAUUGAAAACUCUCGUAAGACGAAGUCUGCUCUCUAACGCGCUGUCCUUUGGGACACAUAUUCAUUUCUUUGGCCUCAAAUCAGGUAGGACUACCCGCUGAACUUAA
rnacentral:misc_RNA from 1 species